GACGAACGCUGGCGGCGUGCUUAACACGUGCAAGUCGAACGGAAAGGCCCUGCUUUUGUGGGGUGCUCGAGUGGCGAACGGGUGAGUAACACGUGAGUAACCUGCCCUUGACUUUGGGAUAACUUCAGGAAACUGGGGCUAAUACCGGAUAGGAGCUCCUGCUGCAUGGUGGGGGUUGGAAAGUUUCGGCGGUUGGGGAUGGACUCGCGGCUUAUCAGCUUGUUGGUGGGGUAGUGGCUUACCAAGGCUUUGACGGGUAGCCGGCCUGAGAGGGUGACCGGCCACAUUGGUACUGAGAUACGGCCCAGACUCCUACGGGAGGCAGCAGUGGGGAAUAUUGCACAAUGGGCGGAAGCCUGAUGCAGCAACGCCGCGUGCGGGAUGACGGCCUUCGGGUUGUAAACCGCUUUCGCCUGUGACGAAGCGUGAGUGACGGUAAUGGGUAAAGAAGCACCGGCUAACUACGUG
rnacentral:rRNA from 1 species